rnacentral:rRNA from 1 species
GUCUUUAUGGAUUUUAUGUAAAGUCUGACCUGCCCAAUGUGUGAUUAAUGGCCGCGGUAUAUUGACCGUGCAAAGGUAGCAUAAUAACUUGUCUAUUAAAUGUGGUCUGGUAUGAAUGGUUUGAUGAAGGGGUAGUUUUAUUAAUGAUAGUUUGAAUUUUAAAUAUCAGUAAAAAUGCUGAUGUGAAGCAGAAAGACGAGAAGACCCUAUUAAGUUUUACCUUUAAGAAUUUUUUGGUGUUGGUGAUGUUAAGUUCUGUGGAGGUUUGGUUGGGGCGACUAUAGGUAAUGAAACACUUGUUUUAUUUUCUUUAUGAGAGUUUGUUGAUCCAGUAGUACUGAUUGUUAGAAUAAAUUACUAUAGGGAUAACAGCGUAAUUUUGUUGGAGAGUUCUUAUUGAUAACAGAGUUUGCGACCUCGAUGUUGGAUUAGGAUACCUGUAAGGCGCAGUAGCAUUAUAAGGAAGUCUGUUCGACUUUUAAAUUCCUACA